rnacentral:lncRNA from 1 species
UUGGGGGUGGUCCCGGGGGGUCGUUGGGAUGGGGCUCAGUGCUGGGGGCAGCCCCUGGUGGGCUCUCGUAGCCACUCUCCUUCUUCUCCUCCGUCUUGAUGCUGCAGUUCACCAUGCUGCCUGCCCCAUCGAGCUCCAGGUGGGGAGAAACGGGGCUCCUCAUGGACAUCGGCUCCGCCGCGCUGCAGCGCUGCGCCCGGGUCCCGCUCCGGUGCCGCUCCCGGUGCCGCUCCCGGUGCGGGCUGCGCCGCCUCUCGCACGGCUCAGGUCCGCUCCAUGUCCCCGGCGCCUCCGCUGGGAGCUGCCCCGGCACCGGGCGGAG